GACGAACGCUGGCGGCGUGCUUAACACAUGCAAGUCGAACGGAAAGGCCCUGCUUUUGUGGGGUGCUCGAGUGGCGAACGGGUGAGUAACACGUGAGUAACCUGCCCUUGACUUUGGGAUAACUUCAGGAAACUGGGGCUAAUACCGUAUAGGAGCUCCUGCUGCAUUGUGGGGGUUGGAAAGUUUCGGCGGUUGGGGAUGGACUCGCGGCUUAUCAGCUUGUUGGUGGGGUAGUGGCUUACCAAGGCUUUGACGGGUAGCCGGCCUGAGAGGGUGACCGGCCACAUUGGGACUGAGAUACGGCCCAGAGUCCUACGGGAGGCAGCAGUGGGGAAUAUUGCACAAUGGGCGGAAGCCUGAUGCAGCAACGCCGCGUGCGGGAUGACGGCCUUCGGGUUGUAAACCGCUUUCGCCUGUGACGAAGCGUGAGUGACGGUAAUGGGUAAAGAAGCACCGGCUAACUACGUG
rnacentral:rRNA from 1 species